UACAGAGGUCCCGAGCGUUGUUCGGAUUCAUUGGGCGUAAAGGGUGCGUAGGCGGCGGGGUAAGUUUGAUGUGAAAUCCCGGGGCUCAACCCUGGAAUUGCAUUGAAUACUACCUUGCUAGAGUACCGGAGAGGAAACUGGAAUUUACGGUGUAGCAGUGAAAUGCGUAGAGAUCGGAAGGAAGACCAGUGGCGAAGGCGAGUUUCUGGACGGUAACUGACGCUGAGGCACGAAGGCCAGGGGAGCAAACGGG
rnacentral:rRNA from 1 species